rnacentral:rRNA from 1 species
CGAAGCGAUCGANAUGUAAGUUUUCGGAUGAAUUCGAGAUUGACUGAGUGGCGGACGGGCGAAGUAACGCGUGAGUAACCUGCCCUUCAGUGGGGAACAACAGCCGGGAAAACAGCUGCUAAUACCGCAUAAUGUCAUUUGGCCGCAUGACCGAAUGACCAAAGGAUUUAUUCGCUGAAGGAUGGACUCGCGUCCGAUUAGAUAGUUGGAGGGGUAACGGCCCACCAAGGCGACGAUCAGUAGCCGAACUGAGAGGUUGAUCGGCCACAUUGGGACUGAGACACGGCCCAGACUCCUACGGGAGGCAGCAGUGGGGGAUAUUGCGCAAUGGGGGAAACCCUGACGCAGCAAUGCCGCGUGAAGGAAGAAGGUCUUCGGAUCGUAAACUUUUGUCUUCAGGGACGAAGAAAGACGGUACCUGAGGAGGAAGCCACGGCUAACUACGUG